GUGGAGCCGCAGCCUGGGGACAGCCAAGCCUCUGGAGCGGGCGACAGAUGAACCUGGGGUCUGCGGAAGGACAAGGCACCCUUGCCGGGGAAAUGUGAUGGUCAGCAGAACCUCACGAGACAGAGGCCAGCUUCCGGAUGGCUUCUCCAGGAAGCAGAUGCUGUCUGCCUUUCCCAGCCCUGACUCUGCAGUGGCCUGGUCUGGAGCCAGGAGCUGGGAGCCUCUGAUGAAACAGCAGCUCCCAAGUGGCGGCAGGGUCAUAUCAGGGGACAACCGCUCACUCCUCAGCCCCUUCCACUCCCCUCUCCAGUCCUGGACACACAGUGUCAUAGAGGUGUCAGUGGCCUUCCCACCCUAUGGAGCAAGAGACUAGAGUUGGCAUGCCCCAGGCAAACUCCUCUUCAACUCAGCGCCUCCCUCCCCUGCCUGGAUUAAAAAACAAGCAUCCUUUACAUCGGGAAUUAAUUCCUUUGUAUCUGGAAUUUGCCAAGAAGAAGGCCACCCCUCCAUGGCUACAGAGAAAAUGCCACUGUUGAUCUCAGCAUCCCACCCAUGUCCGCUGGUCUUUGGUUCCCAAAGGGGAGGUCAGACCACUUACAGCAGGCGCAUCCCGGCCCGGUAAUUGUUUCGGAGAAACAGUAAGGCUAGAGCUGG
ensembl:lncRNA